rnacentral:rRNA from 1 species
CAUGGAGGGUGAGAAUCCCGUUCAUGGUUAAUCUUAAGGAAGCUCUACGAUACGUUUUCCAAGAGUCGAGUUGUUUGGGAUUGCAGCUCAAAAUGGGAGGUAAAUUUCUCCUAAGGCUAAAUAUUGGCGAGAGACCGAUAGCGAACAAGUACCGUGAGGGAAAGAUGAAAAGAACUUUGAAAAGAGAGUUAAACAGUACGUGAAAUUGUUGAAAGGGAAACGAUUGAAGUCAGUCAUACCAACGGGAAAUCAACCUUUUGAGCUUGGUCUCGUGGGUUUUGAAGAGUUUCAAAGCCUUCGGAUUCGCGAGAUUGGGAUCUCUUGGUGUACUUUUUCGUACGGUUAGUCAACAUCGGUUUUGAAUGUCAUAAAAUGACUGGAGGAAUGUAGCUUCGAUCUCGUAUUGAAGUGUUAUAGCCUUAUGGUAGAUGUGAUGUUUGAGACCGAGGAUUGCAACGGAUACCCUUCAGGGCUAUUCGUCUGAUCUCUGAUACGUUGCCUUGACGUCGAAAGCUCGCUUAUGAUGUUAGGGUAUUACGGUCAAAAGGUUAGAACGAAUUACAUUCGUUAAGGAUGUUGACGUAAUGG